CAAGAUGGGUUGCAAGCCAGAAUGAUGAAUUCCACUUUUAACGUCGUCUCCGUGGCGUUCUGCCUAAAUGACGGGCAUGGAAAUGGUGCUGAGGGAUGUGGGCUGAAUCGAGAACACGGGGACUUUUGUCUUCAGGGUCCCUAGAUGUUGAGAAGCUCUGGACUGAAGCUGUCACAAAAAUAACUUGCAUCAAGAGCUGCUAAAGGAUUUCUCUUCAUCAUUUAAGUGGAAUCCAGCAGCAACUACUACAUCUGAUAAACUGCAAAACACAGAAUAUAGGAUUCUUGAAGCUACUGUCAGAGAUGAAACCUGCAGAGCUGGAAUCGUGGAUUCACUUGAACGUGGAAAGCAGCAUGACUCAGCCCUCCCAGCCUGCAGAAUGCGGGUUGGGACUGCCAUGAUCCCCCAACACAAUUUCCCCUAGUUUCUUUUAUCCCUUGUCAUCUUUUAUUAGCAGAGCUGAUUUUAUUUUUAAAAACCCAUGAAACAAAACUAAAAACCAAACCAAAAUUGUUCUACUGUGAAGGGAGGGCAUGCGCAAUGAAGUAUUUUCCCAGGCGAGGUGAGAGUUUCUGCUCAUUCACCCUCACGCUGUCUCCUUGUGGCUAGAAGCACAUGUUUGCAAGUUGGGAGGCUAGGGUCAGGAAUACAGUCAGCUUGUGACCAUAGAGUAGGAAAUAGCAGCUGGCUGUCACUACGAAAUAGUACAUCCAUGGUCUCACUGGCACAUGCAUUAAACCAACAGAGUUAAACGCUCCUCAUCAGUUAUAUCCAGCCUUUGUGAGUUCAGCGGCACCCAUGACUCUUCAUUCUGGAUGGUUUGGCUCUUAGGCCAGUAUUGGAGCAGAUUGUGAAGUGGGAGCCAAGUGAGUUUGGCAGAACCUAAGACCGAGGUCAAAUGAUCAUAAGAAUUAUUCAGACCUCAAAUAUGACACUUAGGCCAAAGGGAAGACUUUCUAAGAGGAGAAUUUCUUCCUCCACACAGAUGAUGGGGUCUGAAUGAACCGAAUUAAAAUAGAGCCAGUUUUGAAGCACCCAUGGGUGCGCAUCUACGAUUUUUAUGUGGCCAUUCACAAACCACUGGAUAGGUAAUGCUGUACUAAAAGGAAUUUAAGCCUGUCAGGUUAAUUACACAAUAUUAGGUACGAAAACAAACAGUGCAACACAAAACAUAGCUACAUCAUUAUUUGCAGUAAAUGUUAACUCUAAAUAAGUGCAACCUGUCUGUAAAAUGCUUGCUAUAAACUAAUUAAAAAAAUAAAAUUUGAUGGAUAAACAUGAAAAAAAAAUUCUCACUGAGAAUUUUUUUUUUAAAUAUCAGCACUCAUUUAGAGUUUGGGAUUUGUGAAAGAAAGCUUUAAAAGGAGCAAACCUGAUUGGCUGUGGCUGUUGCUGCGAAGGGGACACUUGUUGCAGGAGUUGUUGCUGCAGAGACAGUGGCGGACGUAGCGCUGUGCAUCAUGGGUACUUUCAGGAGGGGAACCAUGGGAGCAAUGAACAGGAGGGUGUAGCAUUAUGGUAAUAGAAGUGGUAUUUUGGCAUGGUGAAUAUCAGAGCAGCAAGCCAUCAUGGGUUAAACCAGCAGAUGGCAUGCAAUCACAAUGCAAAGCAAGGAAGCAUGGGAGAGAAAUAAAAAAGGGAAAAUAGCUUAUUACAAGUACAAUUAAAGGAAGUUUUAAAACAUAAUCAGUGAUUCCCAGAAAGGCCAAAGCAGAUUACUUUGGUUGAUGUAUUUACAAACAUUUUACUUCUAACAAUAGAUCCAUUCCCAAUUCAGAGUAUACGGUGUAUGUAAUAAUGGUUGUUUCUAAAAUUGUGAAAGGUGAUGUCUGAUGAAGCAAAAAUAUGUGAUCAUCACUUUUAAUCAUAAAUUCUGAGACAUCCAAAUCUCUAUAUGGAGGCCUAAUUUGGGAUAGGAUGUUCUUUGGAAUUAUGGUGAAAUUGAAUUUUUUUUUUCAAUUUGGAACUGCUUACAUGAAAUGGAACUGCUGUGGGUUGUGGUUUAUUUGAAUCAAUAAACGAUGGAGCAAACAUCAUAGCCUUGAUGCAAAUUAUAACACAGUUACUCUGAAAUAGCCAGGCAAAAUUUGCAAUGUUCCUUUUUCUUGACUCUAAAUAGAUCUAAUCCACAUGUCUUAAAGACAGACGUUUGUACCAAGGCAUUCAUGUGUGUGAAGACAACUAUCUGCUAUUAAAAUUGAAUGGCUAAGGGAAUGCUGAGGUCCAGAAAAAUCAUGCCAAAUAAAUCAACACUUAAAAUUAGAAAAGAUAAUUAAGUUAAGAAGCUCAGACAUUCGUUUCAAAAUAUAUCCAUUUAUAAUUUGUAAAAAAUGAAUACUUCUGGGAAACUCUGAUCGCUCUAACACACAGCAAAGAGGAGAUAAAGGCACACCACUAUGAAACUUUCAAACAUUGAUGAAAUUAGCCUGCCUCGCUGAUAGAGUAAGCUCUGUUCCUUACGCUAUACCAUAUAAACUAUAAAGAGAAACAAAACACAAAUCAUUAAAAAGCAGACUCGUACUUGUGGCUUUAUGUUUUUGUAGUGAUUGUUCUAGCACAAGAGGUCACAUUAAAACCGUCAUUUUCUUAAAUAUACAAGUACAUUUUUAAAAACCUAUAUGUUAACUCUAAAGCCAAAUAAGCCUUCAAAUCUACUACUUCCUGUAGCAUUUCUACCAUCUCUGAAAUAAAUUUCAAGCAAGUGAAGGUAUUGUACAUCAUAUAAAAGACAAAUAAAAAAGGUUGAAACCUACCAAUACUGGUAGCGGGUGUCAUGCACAAAACUGACCCUGAUGUCAUGCAAUGGUGGGUGGAAAAAGUGAAUAAAGGGAAAGAAACAGGUUAGCGGUUUAGAGUUAACAUUCAAAGUGAGAUUGAAGCACAACCAGAAAUAAGUAGGGUUAGUUAACACAGUCUUUUAGGGCCAUUCACAUUGUCAGUACAGACACAAAUAUAUCAGACUUAUUUUAAGCCAGUAUUAUUCCAAGCUCACUCCUUAGACCACUGUCCACACUUUCUAUUCAUAUGCAUCGACAUGAUUCUAAUAAGAAUGACAUGUGAUAAUGCUGUGGUGUCCUUCCUCUAAGACCUCAAAGUAUUUUACAGACAUUAUCAAGUUAAUCCUCCAAGGUAGGAAGUAGGUAUUUUACAGAUGAAAAAUCUGAGGCAUAGUAACUCCUCCAAGGUCAUGCAUGGUGUGGGUCAAGGGGAAGGGUAGAAAUAGAAUUCUCUUCCUAAAUCCAGGUCAUCUUUUAUAUUCAGUAGAAUACACUGAACUUCCUGCAUUAAAAGUUUACUUGUUUGUUUGACUGUAAAUGUUUUGUGUCAACAAUGGUAUGAAAAUAAGAACAGUAUUUAAGAUUUAAGAUAUUCUCCAAAUCAGAAACUUGCAGGGCAGGAUGGGUAAAUUUUAGAUUACUGCUUGCAAGCCCAAUCACCUAGGAAGACUGAGGUUCUUACAGGGAAUGACCUGUAUGAGCACAUGGUCUUCUCUCUGUUGUAAGAUUCAUUGUGAUAAAGGAGUAGUGCCUGGCAAUAAAGCCUAAACACUGUAGAGGCAAAAUAAUGCAGAGUUGCAGCUGAGUUAGGACCGGGGCUAAGGAAUUUUGUCAUGACUACUACAAGGUGAUCCCUGAGGAGGAUUUCUGGCAAAACUAGGAUAUCUCAAGUUGGUGUCUGAGUGGGGAGGUAGGAGGUGGGAGGGGCGAUUUCAACCCUUUCUUAGAAAUAGCUGUCUUACUUGUGGUGGUCAUAAUUAACAUACACGCAUCAGGAAACUCUGACCAUGAAUAUUAUAUUCAUGCAUGUUGUGGAGAACUGAAAGAAAACUGUAUUGAAAGCUUUGGGGGAAUUAUCUGCUACUGGUUCAGUUCCAUGAAAAAAAAAGUAAUACAAGGAUUUAGAUCACUGAAGACUGCGUGUCAUGUAGGUGCCUGAGAAGUAGUUUCUUGUGAAUAUAGGAAUGCCCUCUUAGAGUUUCAGAACUGACUUCUGAGAUAUUAGUUGGAGAAUCUGAGAUGUGUAGGUCUUCAUUCUCUGUGGAGCUGUUCACGCUAGAGGGCAACUUUUUGCCUGAACUACAUUUUGAUCAAGCUAACAUGACCUAGUCAGGAAAGGGGGCUAUUUAACUGGGCUACAGCCAUAGUCUUCAACAAAUGUGGGCCAAUACAUCCAACUUAAACCUUUCUCCAGCCCUAUUCUCUCAUCUUCACAAUCAAACUUCUGGAAAUCUACCUGCACAUAAAUGUUUACUUCCCUAUCCCUACUGAGUGUUCAUUCCUCUUCAAUUUGGCUUUCAUUUGACCUCUGCACUUAAAUUGUGAAUGCCAAUCACCAGGAAAAUCCCAUAUUGCUGCAGCCAGCAGGAACUCUCCCAUCCUCACCUCACUGUUCCUGAUUCUCAGCAGCAUUCAGCACUCCGCCCUUCCCUCCAUCGGAAGCCACUGUCUUCCCUUAGAUUUUUGAUCACACUCACACACACACACACACACACACACACACAUUUUUCUUUCUGGCAAGUCCCUUUGUCUACUUUGCUGAACAACCUUCCUUCCCUGAACUCACUCUCUCUAUGCUGGAGUUCCUCAGGACUCAGUCAUGUGUCCUUUUCAUCUAUGCUGCAUUUCCUGUGGUGUAUCAUUCACUUCAUGGGUUUGGAUUCCAGGAGCUUCCAUGUUUGUGUAUCCCAUGCAGAUUUCUUCACGUUCUAGGUCCUUUCCUCUAAAUGCCCCCCUCACCUCUCUGCUUGGAUGUCUCAUAAGUGUAUCAAAUGGAACAGGGCCGAACUUUGAUCUUUUCACAGAAACUUUCUACGCCUCGGUCUAUGGCCACACCACCCUGAAAGCGCCUGAUCUUAUCUGAUCUCUGAAGCUAAGCAGGGUCGGGCCUGGUUAGGACUUGGAUGGGAGAAACUUUCUACACCUCAGGAGAUACCUGAUGGGCAUCACCAUCUAAGUAGAGCUCUAGUCUGAACUGAAAGUUAGGCCUGAUACCCCUUCCCCUUGUGAACUUCCCAGGUCCAGCUCACCAAUCAGCCAAAGCAAUCCUGCUUCUAGCAUGCAGCUUGCAGUCAUCUGUUUGUCCGUCACAACUGCCACAUCUGAAGUCCUGGUCACCAUUAUCUCUAGGCUGGGCUAUGUGAUAACAUCCUACGUGGUCUUCCUGCUUCCAUUCUCGUCCCUCCUUAGUUCAUUCUCCAGCUGCUGGCAGAGUAGAUCUUUCCAAAUGCAGGCCUGGCCACUCCUCCGCUGGAAACCAUUCAGUGGUUUCUCAUUGCUUUUAGGAUAAAGGUCCCCUGUGGUCUAGUCUCUGACUACCUCCCCAGGCCCUCCUACACCUCUCUUCCCUGGCACCAUGAUACAGACAGAUUAAUUUUUCUUUUCUUUGAACUGAACACAUUACACAUUUGUUCUAUUUUUGAGCUUCCCACAAGCUGUCCCCUUGGCCUAGAAUAAUCUUCACCUCACUUUUUUCAUCUUCCAGAUCUCAGGGUAUAUGUCACUUCUUUAGAAAAUGCUCAGUUGUUAUUUUACCUACCUCCCCAUGCCAUCAAGUCAGUUUCUAUUUUUAAUCUCACUGAACUCUACUUUUUCAUUCAUAGUACAGGUUGAGCAUUCCAAGUCUGAAAAUCUGAACCCAAAACGCUCUAAAAUCCAAAACUUUUCGAGUGCUAACAUGCCCCUCAAAGAAAAUGCUUCUUGGAGCAUUUCAGAUUUCAGAUUUUCAAAUUUGGGGUGCUCAACUAGUUAAUGUAAUCCAAAUAUUCUAAAAUCCAAAAAAAAAAAAUCCAAAAUCUGAAAUAUUUCUGGUACCAAGCAUUUUGAAUCAAGGAGUACUCAACCU